rnacentral:tRNA from 1 species
UGCUCCGGUGGUCUAAGAGAAUAAGAUACGCAGCUGCCAACUGCGGGAUGCGGGUGUAAUUCCUGCCCGGAGCAUC